UUUAUCUUUCUUUUCUCCUCCUGCGCCUCUUUUCUUCCCUCUCAAAUGCAGACUAAUCAUCUGAUCUUUGGAGAACUGAUUUUCAAUCAUCUGCUCAUCGAGUUUAAGGUUUCGAUCUGUGUGUUGUUGAAUGAUGUAUUUGGUUUUUUCAGGAGAAAUGGAAGUUUGUUGCUGAGGAGUAUUCUUUGCUAGAGAGCUUGCUAAAGAUGGUUACUCUGGUGUUGAAGUUAGGGUUACUCCUAUCAUCCUGUGAGAAAUGAAAUCAGCAUUAGAUGUAACUCAAGGUUCUGAUUUAGUUUUGUGAUAUAUUUGAAUCUGAAAGUAGAGUUUUGAAUCAUACCUUGUAACUGAAUAUGGGUUUUGUUUUUUGUUUUGAUUGGAGGAGUAAGUAGGUGAUUGAAGAUUACAUUGAUUGAAAAUGGUGGAGAAGCAUUAAUCUUCUGUCAACAUUCUGUUGGUUUCAAUGUAAUUUAGCUAAUGUCAUCUACAGUUUAUUCGUCGAAUGUGAAUCAUAUGGGCUGUGUUAAAUUAAAGAUAUACUAAUUGUGGUUCAACAAUGGGAAUCUUUUGUUCAACAAUGGGUUGAUUGUCUUCGUCAUGAACCCAUUGCUAAUCUUCUUCAAAUCCCAUCUGGAGUCGGUCAGCUUAGGGAAAUUGUUCCUUUCUAGUUGGGUUUUUCUCAUAAUGGUUAAAUUUAGUUCCUUACGUUUCUAUCUGUAGUGGCAUGAUUUAUUGAUAUGUUGUAUCAUUACUAGGACUAUUGGCCUUGUUCGUUAAAGGAAUUUGUCUAGACAUUCAGAUCUCUUGUUUUUCCUAGAGAACCAACAGAUUUACAAAGGGUGUUACAUGACUUGGAUGUUAUUGCAGUUAAUAAUAUUCUUGGCCAAGGCAUGAAUUUGAAGAAAAAACAUGAAUAAAAAAUGGUGAUAUAGGGGACCUUCUUGAAUUCAAUUGCAAGAAGUGCUAGAGCUAAUACAGUAAUUGACGUUGGUUCUAGCCAGAUAUUUGUUGGUGAUUUGGACUCUAAUGUCACUGACGAAAACUCGAGACAAGUUUUUAGCCAAUUUGGAGAGUUAUCUCAUGUGAAGAUACUUGUCGUAAAACGCCGUGGGUUUGUUCAGUUCGAUAAUAAGUAAACAUAUUUAGUCUUACCUAGUUCAUCUGCAACCUCUGACUGGAAGCUUCGUGGUCCUUCUAAUUUCGUUGUUUCAAUUGCAUAUGCUGGCUUCGGGACUUGUGCAGAGGAGGCUUUGCCUUCUAAUUUCGUUGUUUCAAUUGCAUAUGCUGGCUUCGGGACUUGUGCAGAGGAGGCUUUGCUGAUGUUAAAAUUUCCAACUUUCAUGGGGACGCAGUCCUUCAAAGAAACAGACAUUCAACACUGAGCCAAUUCUCCCUCCCUAUACCGCUAGUCCAGAUCAUGUUGAACGAGCAUUAAAGAUUAAAUACUCUGGUCUAUGACAAAAAUCAAGGGUAAGGAACUUGACUUUUUUUUUUUUGAAAGUGGAAGGUUAUAUUAAAAGAAAAAGAGUAUGUACAGAUUAUAUACAAUGGUCAAAAGACCAACAAACUGAAAUCAAAACAGCUAACUAUACAUUCAUAAUUUCCUCCCA